UUGUAAUUGGUUUUAAUAGUCAAGAUUUUAGGCCAUGGUACUAGUAUGCUAUAUUUUCAAUUACAGAAAUAAAUCAAUUUCAUCGUCAUCAUGUGUUGCAAUACCACUACCAGGGACAUCAAAGAUGACCUGGACUUCAGUGCAUAUGCAGAGGAGAGUAGCACUAAAGAAAGCCAAUAAAAUCCUUUUGGAGUUGAAUUGAGACACAACCAUUCAUUUCUGGUUUAGUUAUAAAACUGCUACAGACUAUAAACUAUUCAUGAUGAUGGAAUACACCACUGCCUAGUACAAUCAUGGCCCAUUAGAAACCAGAACAAACCAUGGCUGCAAAGGAAAUAAGAUGCACAUAGUCUGAAAGAUCUGGCUGGUGUUCUAAAUAAGAUGACAUAAUAUCUCAACUGCAGAAGUACAGCUGGCAUGUAGGGGUUUCACCAGCACAUCUUGAUGUAUUGUACCAAAAGAUUUGCUUACACACCACCUGUUUAUAGGAUGCACAAUCUUCUUGCAGCCAUAGAUUAUAAUAUACAUGCAAAUAGACCAUACAUCACCAACAAGGGGGAUCUGUUAGACUUCAGCGAGUCUGGAUGAAUUAAAGAAGAAAAAGUAUCAUUAUACCAUUUUUAGCUCGACUAUUCGCAGAAUAAUCGAGCUAAUGCAGUCACCCAUUUGUCGGCGUCGGCGUCCCUGUGGUUAAGUUUUUGUAUGUAAGCUGGUAUCUCCAUAACUACUGAAGGGAAUGGAUUGAAACUUCACACACUUGUUCUCUGUGAUUAUCUAAGAUGAUUGGCACAAGUCCCAUAACUCUGAAUUGUUUUAUUUCAUAAUUAUGCCCCUUUUUCGACUUAGAAAAUCUUGGUUAAGUUUUUGUAUGUAAGCUUGUAUCUCCAUAACUACUGAAGGGAAUGGAUUGAAACUUCACACACUUGUUCUCUGUGAUUAUCUAAGAUGAUUGGCACAAGUCCCAUAACUCUGAUUUGCUUUUUUUCAUAAUUAUGCCCCUUUUUCGACUUAGAAAUUCUUGGUUAAGUUUUUGUAUGUAAGCUGGUAUCUCCAUAACUACUGAAGGGAAUGGAUUGAAACUUCACACACUUGUUCUCUGUGAUUAUCUAAGAUGAUUGGCACAAGUCCCAUAACUCUGGUUUGCUUUUUUUCAUAAUUAUGCCCCUUUUUCGACUUAGAAAUUCUUAGUUAAGUUUGUGUAUGUAUAUAAGCUGUUAUCUCCAUAACUACUGAAGGGAAUUGAUUGAAACUUCACACACUUGUUCUCUGUGUUUAUCUAAGACAAUUGGCACAAGUACCAUAACUCUGAUUUGCUUUUUUACAUAAUUAUGCCCCUUUUUCGACUUAGUUUCUUGGUUAAGUUUUUGCGUGUAAGCUGGUAUCUCCAUAACUACUGAAGGGAAUGGAUUGAAACUUCACACACUUGUUCUCUGUGAUUAUCUAAGAUAAUUGGCACAAGUCCCAUAACUCUGAAUUGUUUUAUUUCAUAAUUAUGCUCCUUUUUCGACUUAGAAAAUCUUGGUUAAGUUUUUGUAUGUAAGCUUGUAUCUCCAUAACUACUGAAGGGAAUGUAUUGAAACUUGAAGAGUUUGUACCUUUUCGGACAAUUUUAUGUAUUCAUAUAGGUAAACAUUAUUAUACUCAAUGAAACACCCUUGUGACAAAUUUUCGAAUAGUCGAGCUUUACUGUCCUCCGACAGUUCUUGUUCAUGAUGCUAUAACUCUGAGAAUUAGUGACAUGGAGGGGAUAUAGAAAAAUACAAAGUUAGAGGAAGAUGACCCCCACAGACUUUCAAAAUAUUUGGCCCAAGUUAGCCCGAAGCCUACCCGAGCCAUUCAUGAGGAACAUAAAUCAAGAUAUGAUUGACUUUUUAUGGAAAAGAAUGAUAAAUAGUGUGUUACACUGAUUGCCCAACUAUUCAAACAUAUUUAAGCUGACAUUGAACACCUGGUAUUCAUGAUAGUUUUAUGAAAUAUCUUUUUAGAUAUGGCACUGUAUCUAUCUUGUUUCGAAAAAAAUUCUCUUGAUUCAUUUGUCAUGACUCAAGGUCUGUUUUUAAUAUUUUGUCAGAAAAAUGACUACUUUUUAUACAAGUGCAAAAUAUUAUCCAAUCUAUUAAACUAUAAGUGCUGCUAUGAGCUUUAAUGUAGUAACAAAGUUAAAAGUAUUAUUCAAUUAUAUCUUUUGAUAUACAUGUACUAUGUCAUUCACUUUAGCUCAGCUUUUCUUUUUUU